rnacentral:rRNA from 1 species
GAUGAACGCUGGCGGCGUGCUUAACACAUGCGAGUCGAACGAGAAAUGUAGACGGAAACCUUCGGGCGGAAGCCUUCAUUUCGAGUGGCGGACGGGUGAGUAACGCGUGGGUAACCUGCCUCAUACAGGGGGAUAACAGUUGGAAACGACUGUUAAUACCGCAUAAGACCACAGCAUCGCAUGAUGCGGGGGUAAAAACUCCGGUGGUAUGAGAUGGACCCGCGUUCGAUUAGCCAGUUGGCGGGGUAACGGCCCACCAAAGCGACGAUCGAUAGCCGAUCUGAGAGGAUGACCGGCCACAUUGGGACUGAGACACGGCCCAAACUCCUACGGGAGGCAGCAGUGGGGAAUAUUGCACAAUGGGGGAAACCCUGAUGCAGCGACGCCGCGUGAGUGAAGAAGUACUUCGGUAUGUAAAGCUCUACCAGCAGGGAAGAAAAUGACGGUACCUGAGUAAGAAGCCCCGGCUAACUACGUG